rnacentral:rRNA from 1 species
GCAUGAAGUUGGAAUUGCUAGUAAUCGCGGAUCAGCAUGCCGCGGUGAAUACGUUCCCGGGGAUUGUACACACCGCCCGUCACACCAUGAGAGUCGGGAACACCCAAAGUCCGUAGUCUAACCGCAAGGAGGACGCGGCCUAAGGUGGGUUCGAUAAUUGGGGUGAAGUCGUAACAAGGUACC